UUGCAGCCAUGUGGCGUUGAAACACAGGUUCCCGUACGAUCACCAAAGUUAAACAAUGUUGAGCCUGUCAGCUCCUAGAUAGGUGACCACUUGGAAAUAUCAGGUGCUGUAAG